GAUGAACGCUGGCGGCGUGCCUAAUACAUGCAAGUCGAGCGAACGGACGAGAAGCUUGCUUCUCUGAUGUUAGCGGCGGACGGGUGAGUAACACGUGGAUAACCUACCUAUAAUACUUGGAGAACUUCGGGAAACCGGAUCUAAUACCGGAUCAUAUUUUGAACCGCAUGGUUCAAAAGUGAAAGACAGUCUUGCUGUCACUUAUAGCUGGAUCCGCGAUGCAUUAGCUAGUUGGUAAGGUAGCGGCUUACCAAGGCAACGAUGCAUAGCCGACCUGAUAGGGUGAUCGGCCACACUGGAACUGAGACACGGUCCAGACUCCUACGGGAGGCAGCAGUAGGGAAUAUUCCGCAAUGGGCGCAAGCCUGACGCAGCCACGCCGCGUGAGUGAUGAAGGUCUUCGGAUCGUAAAACUCUGUUAUUAGGGAAGAACAUAUGUGUAAGUAACUGUCCACAUCCUGACGGUACCCAAUCAGAAAGCAACGGCUAACUUCGUG
rnacentral:rRNA from 1 species